rnacentral:rRNA from 1 species
UACGUAGGGGGCAAGCGUUGUCCGGAUUUAUUGGGCGUAAAGAGCGUGUAGACGGCCAGAUAGGUCCGUUGUGAAAACUGGAGGCUUAACCUCCAGCUGUCGAUGGAAACCAUCUGGCUAGAGUCCGGAAGAGGAGAGUGGAAUUCCUGGUGUAGCGGUGAAAUGCGCAGAUAUCAGGAAGAACACCCGUGGCGAAGGCGGCUCUCUGGGACGGUACUGACGCUGAGGAGCGAAAGCAUGGGGAGCGAACAGG